GGAGAGGUGCCGGAGUCUGGCUUAACGGGCCCGACUCGAAAUCGGGUGUACCCUUAUAAGGGGUACCGCGGGUUCAAAUCCCGCCCUCUCCG
rnacentral:tRNA from 1 species